GAACCUUACCUGGGCUCGAAAUGGAGUGGACCGCGGUAGAAAUAUCGCUUCCCCGCAAGGGGCUGCUCUAUAGGUGCUGCAUGGCUGUCGUCAGCUCGUGUCGUGAGAUGUUGGGUUAAGUCCCGCAACGAGCGCAACCCUUAUUACCAGUUGCUACCAUUUAGUUGAGCACUCUGGUGAGACUGCCUCGGAUAACGGGGAGGAAGGCGGGGAUGACGUCAAGUCCUCAUGGCCUUUAUGUCCAGGGCUACACACGUGCUACAAUGGCCGGUACAAACCGUCGCAAACCCGCGAGGGGGAGCUAAUCGAAAAAAGCCGGCCUCAGUUCGGAUUGGAGUCUGCAACUCGACUCCAUGAAGCUGGAAUCGCUAGUAAUCGCAGAUCAGAACGCUGCGGUGAAUACGUUCCCGGGCCUUGUCACACCGA
rnacentral:rRNA from 1 species